rnacentral:rRNA from 1 species
AUUGAACGCUGGCGGCAGGCCUAACACAUGCAAGUCGAGCGAGCGGCGGACGGGUGAGUAUUGUCUGGGAAACUGCCCGAUGGAGGGGGAUAACUACUGGAAACGCUAGCUAAUACCGCAUACAAUCAGCUAUGCCCAGAUGGGAUUAGCUAGUAGGGGGGGUAACGGCUCACCUAGGCGACGAUCCCUAGCUGGUCUGAGAGGAUGACCAGCCACACUGGAACUGAGACACGGUCCAGACGCCUACGGGAGGCAGCAGUGGGGAAGAUUGCACAAUGGGCGCAAGCCUGAUGCAGCCAUGCCGCGUGUGUGAAGAAGGCCUUAGGGUUGUAAAGCACUUUCAGCGGGGAGGCGUUACCCGCAGAAGAAGCACCGGCUAACUCCGUGCCAGCAGCCGCGGUAAUAC